rnacentral:rRNA from 1 species
CGGGACGGGUGAGUAAUGUCUGGGAAACUGCCUGAUGGAGGGGGAUAACUACUGGAAACGGUAGCUAAUACCGCAUAACGUCGCAAGACCAAAGAGGGGGACCUUCGGGCCUCUUGCCAUCGGAUGUGCCCAGAUGGGAUUAGCUAGUAGGUGGGGUAACGGCUCACCUAGGCGACGAUCCCUAGCUGGUCUGAGAGGAUGACCAGCCACACUGGAAUUGAGACACGGUCCAG